GAUGAACGCUGGCGGCGUGCCUAAUACAUGCAAGUCGAGCGAACAGACGAGCAUCUUGCUCCUCUGACGUUAUCGUCGGACGGGUGAGUAGCACGUGGAUAACCUACCUAUAAGACUGGAAUAACUUCGAGAACCCGGAACUAGUACCUGAUAAUCUAUUGAACCGCAUGGUUCAAUAGUGGAAGGCGGUUUUGCUGUCACUUAUAGAUGGAUCCCCGCCGCAUUAGCUCGUUGUUAAGGUGACGGCUUACCAAGGCAACGAUGCGUAGCCGACCUGAGGGGGGGAGCGGCCACAGCGGAACUGAGACACGGUCCAGACUCCUACGGGAGGCAGCAGUAGGGAAGCUUCAGCAAUGGGCGAAAGCCUGACGGAGCAACGGCGAGUGAGUGAUGAAGGUCUUCGGAUCGUAAAACUCUGUUAUUAGGGAAGAACAAAUGUGUAAGUAACUAUGCAGGUCUUGACGGUACCUAAUCAGAAAGCCACGGCUAACUACGUG
rnacentral:rRNA from 1 species